rnacentral:rRNA from 1 species
CUUAUGCCGGCGACCGGCGGACGGGUGCGUAACGCGUAUGUAACCUACCUUUGACAGGGGGAUAACAUCGAGAAAUUGGUACUAAUACCCCAUAACAUCACCGGAGGCAUCUUCGGUGGUUGAAAACUCAGGUGGUCAGAGAUGGACAUGCGUUGUAUUAGCUAGUUGGUGAGGUAACGGCUCACCAAGGCGACGAUACAGUAGGGGGACUGAGAGGUCCAACCCCCCACAUUGGUACUGAGACACGGACCAAACUCCUACGGAAGGCAGCAG